AUCUGCGCCACCUGACUCCCAAGACCCUAGCUUUGGAGUGGGAAGUGAGGUGUGGGAAGUAGGUCGCUUUCUGAUGAAUUAAGUGGCAGUGAAUUGAGACCGGAGGGAAUCUGGCCCCUAGAGGCUGGUACUUGCGCCCCAAAACCCCAUCUCCGGCAGACAGACUGUCCGAGGUAAUUGUCGGCCACGAGUGCACAUUCUGAAAACAGGAGAUUUUAGUUCCUAAAAAUGGGAAGAACCUACAUUGUAGAAGAGACUGUUGGCCAGUAUCUUUCAAACAUAAAUCUCCAAGGAAAGGCUUUUGUCUCUGGCCUUUUAAUAGGACAGUGUUCUUCACAAAAGGAUUAUGUGAUUCUUGCCACUAGAACGCCCCCCAAAGAGGAACAAAGUGAGAACCUCAAACAUCCCAAAGCUAAGUUGGAUAACUUGGAUGAAGAAUGGGCCACAGAACAUGCCUACCAGGUAUCCAGAAUGCUACCAGGGGGACUUUUAGUUCUUGGAGUAUUUAUUAUUACUACUUUAGAACUGGCAAAUGAUUUUCAAAAUGCCCUGCGUAGACUAAUGUAUGCUGUGGAAAAGUCUAUAAAUAGAAAGAGAUUGUGGAAUUUCACAGAGGAGGAGGUCUCAGAACGAGUGACACUUCACAUUUGUGCUUCUACAAAAAAAAUAUUUUGUCGAACUUACGAUAUGCAUGAUCCAAAGGGUUCAGCAAGACCAGCAGAUUGGAAGUAUCAAAGUGGAUUAUUAUCCUCAUGGCUUUCUUUAGAGUGUACAGUUCACAUUAAUAUUCAUAUCCCACUUUCUGCUACUUCUGUCAGCUAUACUCUGGAGAAAAAUACAAAGAAUGGACUUACACGCUGGGCCAAGGAAAUAGAAAAUGGUGUUUAUUUGAUUAACGGACAAGUUAAAGAUGAAGAUUGUGACCUAUUAGAAGGACAGAAAAAAUCUUCUAGAGGAAAUACUCAAGCAACUAGUCAUUCUUUUGAUGUCAGAGUGCUAACGCAGUUGCUCCUGAAUUCAGACCACAGAUCCACAGCCACAGUCCAGAUAUGUAGCGGUUCUGUAAACCUUAAGGGUACUGUGAAAUGCAGAGCUUAUAUCCACAGCAGUAAACCCAAAGUUAAAGAUGCUGUGCAGGCAGUAAAGAGGGAUAUAUUGAACACAGUUGCUGAUCGUUGUGAAAUACUAUUUGAGGAUCUGCUUUUGAAUGAAAUUCCAGAAAAAAAAGAUUCUGAAAAAGAGUUCCACAUCCUCCCUUAUCGAGUCUUUGUUCCCCUUCCUGGAUCCACUGUAAUGUUGUGUGAUUACAAAUUUGAUGAUGAGCCGGCUGAAGAAAUCAGGGACCAUUUUAUGGAGAUGUUGGAUCAUACAAUUCAAAUAGAAGAUUUGAAAAUUGCAGAGGAAAUAAACACAGUCUAGUAUAGAGAUGGAUUAACAGUAGGAAGAGUUUAAUAUUACAAGAACAAAGGAAGCAAAACAGCAAUUUGGAAAGUUUAGCUUGUAUGAGUUCCUCUAUGAAUAGUCAAGCUUCAUUGGACAACACAGAUGAUGAACAACCAAAACAACCAAUUAAAACUACAAUGUUACUGAAAAUUCAGCAAAACAUAGGUGUGAUUGCAGCAUUUACAGUUGCAGUCCUUGCUGCUGGUAUCUCCUUUCAUUACUUCAGUGAUUAGGGUGAGGCACAAAGAGUUUCUUGAUCAUCCAGAGAACAUUGACAGAUAAUUAUGAAUAAUAAAGAUGUUAAUCCAUCUGUAUUUAAAACAGUAGCAGCCAGAUCUGCUGCCAUGAUGCCUAUUUGGUGUGUUUCUGAUUAAAAUGAAAUCACAAGCUGC